rnacentral:tRNA from 1 species
UAUAUUUUAAUGUAAGAAGCAUUUAAAUUUUUGAAGUUUAAAGGUAUAGUUUAAUUCUAUAAAAUAUAG